GACGGAGGAUGCAAGCGUUAUCCGGAAUGAUUGGGCGUAAAGCGUCUGUAGGUGGUUUAUUAAGUCUGCUGUUAAAGCACAGGGCUCAACCCUGUAGAGGCGGUAGAAACUGGUAGGCUUGAGUAUGGUAGGGGUAGAGGGAAUUCCCGAUGUAGUGGUGAAAUGCGUUGAUAUCGGGAAGAACACCAAAGGCGAAAGCACUCUGCUGGGCCAAUACUGACACUGAGAGACGAAAGCUAGGGGAGCAAAUGGG
rnacentral:rRNA from 1 species